AUUGAACGCUGGCGGCAGGCCUAACACAUGCAAGUCGAACGAGUGGCGGACGGGUGAGUAAUGUCUGGGAAACUGCCCGAUGGAGGGGGAUAACUACUGGAAACGGUAGCUAAUACCGCAUACCAUCGGAUGUGCCCAGAUGGGAAUAGCUAGUAGGUGGGGUAACGGCUCACCUAGGCGACGAUCCCUAGCUGGUCUGAGAGGAUGACCAGCCACAAUGGAACUGAGACACGGUCCAGACUCCUACUGGAGGCAGCAGUGGGGAAUAUUUCACAAUGUGCGCAAGCCUCAUGCAGCCAUGCCGCGUGUAUGAAGAAGGCCUUCGGGUUGUAAAGUACUUUCAGCGAGGAGGCAUUACUCGCAGAAGAAGCACCGGCUAACUCCGUGCCAGCAGCCGCGGUAAUUC
rnacentral:rRNA from 1 species